rnacentral:sRNA from 2 species
UCCUAGCCCCGAUAGUAGUGGAAAUCCUUUUACUUUUUUCUUUAAAAAGUAAAAGAUUGAAACGGAUAGCGGGAUUAGCU